rfam:Propionibacterium acnes KPA171202, complete genome.
UCCCCGGUUGGUCUGUCGGCAGGGCCCGCCUGACUUUGAAUCAGGAUGAGCGACGCAGGUUCGACUCCUGCCCGGGGAG